UACAGAGGUCCCAAGCGUUUGUUCGGAUUCACUGGGCGUAAAGGGUGCGUAGGUGGUGAGGUAAGUCGGAUGUGAAAGCUCCGAGCUCAACUCGGAAAUGGCAUUGGAAACUACCUUGCUCGAGGGUUUGAGGGGGGACUGGAAUACUUGGUGUAGCAGUGAAAUGCGUAGAUAUCAAGUAGAACACCAGUGGCGAAGGCGAGUCCCUGGAAAACUCCUGACACUGAGGCACGAAAGCUAGGGGAGCAAACAGG
rnacentral:rRNA from 1 species